rnacentral:lncRNA from 1 species
UAUAUAUAUAUAUAUGUAAUUACCUGUAUGUACCUUAUUUUGGCUAAUAAAAAAUAUGGGCAAAGACUUUCUGAUUCGCCCUCGUAUAUCCUUUUCAUUGA